CCAGACUCCUACGGGAGGCAGCAGUGAGGAAUAUUGGGCAAUGGGCGCAAGCCUGACCCAGCAACGCCGCGUGAAGGAAGAAGGCUUUCGGGUUGUAAACUUCUUUUGUCAGGGACGAAGCAAGUGACGGUACCUGACGAAUAAGCCACGGCUAACUACGUGCCAGCAGCCGCGGUAAUACGUAGGUGGCAAGCGUUAUCCGGAUUUACUGGGUGUAAGGGGCGUGUAGGCGGGACUGCAAGUCAGAUGUGAAAACCACGGGCUCAACCUGUGGCCUGCAUUUGAAACUGUAGUUCUUGAGUACUGGAGAGGCAGACGGAAUUCCUAGUGUAGCGGUGAAAUGCGUAGAUAUUAGGAGGAACACCAGUGGCGAAGGCGGUCUGCUGGACAGCAACUGACGCUGAGGCGCGAAAGCGUGGGGAGCAAACAGGAUUAGAUACCCUUGUAA
rnacentral:rRNA from 1 species